CACACGCUCUUGCAUGUUCAAUCGACGAGAAUGGAGUCCCGUCAACAAAAGUACAGUUUUGCUCGAGCGUUUUGUCCUCUAUAUUUUACUUACAGGAAGGCAAAUAGUCAUUCGUGUCUCUUGCGGGUUUUCGACAGUGCACGCGGCAGCAGUUUUCCACCGCGCAUGAUCGCUCUUUGCCGUGUGACGGUCUUCAAACCAUUUCCAGGAGUGCUCCGAUAGUGGUUUUGUCGCUGAUGACGUAAAAAUCGAGAUUGAGUUCAUUGAACAUGGAAACCAGAGCUUCAUUAAAGAGGCAGGAGCGAAUGACACAGUCUAGUGUAUGUUUUCUGCCCACAUCUGCGCGUUUCUUCACGUGUGUGCCACCGAUGUUGUUACCUUUCCGCUGUAUUGGUAUUUUGCUCUUUGUAAGUUGUGUGAUAAUAGCUUGACACGUGUUCUCCCUGUGUUUUAAUAAUUCGAGCUUCCUCCCGGGUGUAGGGACCGCACUGAAAGUAUUAAACCGAAGACAAAACCAAACAGUUGAGAAAGACCUAACGCGUCAUCGGG
rnacentral:lncRNA from 1 species